UUGACGGGGGCUCACACAAGCGGUGGAGCAUGUGGCUUAAUUCGAGGCAACGCGAAGAACCUUAUCCUGGGUUUGACAUGUACGGAUUAACCCUGUGAAAGCAGGGCCACGCUCGCAAGAGUGGAACGUGCACAGGUGCUGCAUGGCUGUCGUCAGCUCGUGUCGUGAGAUGUCGCGUUAAGUCGCUAAACGAGCGAAACCCCUAUCUUUUAGUUGCCAGCGCGUCAUGGCGGGGACUCUAAAGAGACUGCCGGUGUCAAACCGGAGGAAGGCGGGGAUGACGUCAAGUCCUCAUGGCCUUUAUGCCCAGGGCUGCACACGUGCUACAAUGGGGCGUACAAAGCGCCGCGAAGUUGCGAAACCAAGCUAAUCGCAAAAAGCGUCCCCCAGUUCGGAUUGAAGGCUGCAAUUCGCCUUCAUGAAGCCGGAAUCGCUAGUAAUCGCCGAUCAGCAUUGCGGCGGUGAAUGUGUUCCUGAGCCUU
rnacentral:rRNA from 1 species